rnacentral:rRNA from 1 species
UACAGAGGGUGCGAGCGUUAAUCGGAAUUACUGGGCGUAAAGCGCGCGUAGGCGGCUUUUCAAGUCGAUUGUGAAAUCCCCGGGCUUAACCUGGGAACUGCAGUCGAGACUGUCUAGCUAGAGUAUGGGAGAGGGAAGUGGAAUUUCAGGUGUAGCGGUGAAAUGCGCAGAUAUCAGGAGGAACACCGGUGGCGAAGGCGGAUCUCUGGGCCAUUACUGACGCUGAGGAGCGAAAGCGUGGGGAGCGAACAGG